rnacentral:ncRNA from 1 species
UAACGUUGGACACACCCGUUAACCGAGACCUAUGGGUGUAUAAGAACGUCUCUCAUAUCCCGCUUGAGGGUGGCGGGAACAUAGUAACACCA